rnacentral:rRNA from 1 species
AACUUUUAACAAGGAAUCUUUUGGUUCUCGUAACGAUGAAAAACACAGAAAAAUGUGAUAAGUAGUGUGAAUUGCAGAAUACGUGAAUCUUCGAAUCUUCGAACGUAUAUUGCAUAAUUUUUUUAGCUUACUAAAAAAAAAAAAAAGUAUGUCUGUUUGAGUAUCU